GCCUAACACAUGCAAGUCGAACGAAGCCUUCGGGCUUACUGGGGCACGGGUGCGUAACGCGUGGAAACCUGCCUUUAAGUUCGGAAUAACUCUCCGAAAGGGGUGCUAAUACCGAAUAAUGUCUUCGGACCAAACAUUUAUCGCCUUUAGAUGGGCCCGCGUUGGAUUACCUUGUUGGUGGGGGAAAGGCCAACCAAGGCGACGAUCCGUAGCUGGUCUGAGAGGAUGAUCAGCCACACUGGGACUGAAACACGGCCCAGACUCCUACGGGAGGCAGCAGUGGGGAAUAUUGGACAAUGGGCGAAAGCCUGAUCCUGCAAUGCCGCGUGAGUGAUGAAGGCCCUAUGGUUGUAAAGCUCUUUUACCAGGGAUGAUUGUGACAGUACCUUGGAGAGGAAGGUCCAGGCUAACUCCGUGCCAGCAGCCGCGGUAAUACGGAGGGAGCUAGCGCUGCUCGGAAUUACUGGGCGUAAAGCGCACGUAGGCGGCUUUUUAAGUCAGGGGUGAAAUCCCGGGGCUCAACCCCGGAACUGCCUCUGAAACUGGAUGGGUAGAAUCUUGCAGAGGCUAGUGGAAUUCCGUGUGUAGAGGUGAAAUUCGUAGAUAUUCGGAAAGAACACCAGUGGCGAAGCGACUCGCUGGACAAGUAUUGACGCUGAGUGCGAAAGCGUGGGGAGCAAACAGGAUUAGAUACCCUGGUAGUCCACGCCGUAAACGAUGAUAACUAGCUGUCCGGGCUCAUAGAGCUUGGGUGGCGCAGCUAACGCAUUAAGUUUUCCGCCUGGGGAGUACGGUCGCAAGAUUAAAACUCAAAGGAAUUGACGGGGGCCUGCACACGCGGUGGAGCAUGUGUUUUAUUUCGAAGCACCGCGCAGAACCUUACCACCCUCUGACAUCCUGGUCGCGGGGAGAGGAGACUCACCCCUUCAUUUCGGAUGUACCAGUCACAGGUGCUGCAUGGCUGUUGUCAGCUCGUGUCGUGAGAUGUUGGGUUAAGUCCCGCAACGAGCGCAACCCUCCUCUUUAGUCCCCAUCAUUUAGUUGGGAACUCUAAGGAAACCGCCGGUGAUAAGCCGGAGGAAGGUGGGGAUGACGUCAAGUCCUCAUGGCCCUUACAGCCUGGGCUACACACGUGCUACAAUGGGGAGGACAGUGGGCAGCUAUCCCGCAAGGGGGAGCUAAUCUCCAAAAGUUUUUUCAGUUCGGAUUGUCCUUUGCAACUCGAGGGCAUGAAGGUGGAAUCGCUAGUAAUCGCGGAUCAGCAUGCCGCGGUGAAUACGUUCUCAGGCCUUGUACACACCCCCCGUCUCACCAUGGGAGUUGGUUUCACUCCAAGAUGGUGCGCUAACCCGCUAGGGAGGCAGCCAACCACGGAGGGAUCAGCGACUGGGGUGAAGUCGUAACAAGGUAGCCGUAGGGGAACCUGCGGCUGGAUCACCUCCUU
rnacentral:rRNA from 1 species